rnacentral:rRNA from 1 species
UUAAGCGACUAAGCGUACACGGUGGAUGCCCUGGCAGUCAGAGGCGAUGAAGGACGUGCUAAUCUGCGAUAAGCGUCGGUAAGGUGAUAUGAACCGUUAUAACCGGCGAUUUCCGAAUGGGGAAACCCAGUGUGUUUCGACACACUAUCAUUAACUGAAUCCAUAGGUUAAUGAGGCGAACCGGGGGAACUGAAACAUCUAAGUACCCCGAGGAAAAGAAAUCAACCGAGAUUCCCCCAGUAGCGGCGAGCGAACGGGGAGCAGCCCAGAGCCUGAAUCAGUGUGUGUGUUAGUGGAAGCGUCUGGAAAGGCGCGCGAUACAGGGUGACAGCCCCGUACACAAAAAUGCACAUGCUGUGAGCUCGAUGAGUAGGGCGGGACACGUGGUAUCCUGUCUGAAUAUGGGGGGACCAUCCUCCAAGGCUAAAUACUCCUGACUGACCGAUAGUGAACCAGUACCGUGAGGGAAAGGCGAAAAGAACCCCGGCGAGGGGAGUGAAAAGAACCUGAAACCGUGUACGUACAAGCAGUGGGAGCACGCUUAGGCGUGUGACUGCGUACCUUUUGUAUAAUGGGUCAGCGACUUAUAUUCUGUAGCAAGGUUAACCGAAUAGGGGAGCCGAAGGGAAACCGAGUCUUAACUGGGCGUUAAGUUGCAGGGUAUAGACCCGAAACCCGGUGAUCUAGCCAUGGGCAGGUUGAAGGUUGGGUAACACUAACUGGAGGACCGAACCGACUAAUGUUGAAAAAUUAGCGGAUGACUUGUGGCUGGGGUGAAAGGCCAAUCAAACCGGGAGAUAGCUGGUUCUCCCCGAAAGCUAUUUAGGUAGCGCCUCGUGAAUUCAUCUCCGGGGGUAGAAGCACUGUUUCGGCAAGGGGGUCAUCCCGACUUACCAACCCGAUGCAAACUGCGAAUACCGGAGAAUGUUAUCACGGGAGACACACGGCGGGUGCUAACGUCCGUCGUGAAGAGGGAAACAACCCAGACCGCCAGCUAAGGUCCCAAAGUCAUGGUUAAGUGGGAAACGAUGUGGGAAGGCCCAGACAGCCAGGAUGUUGGCUUAGAAGCAGCCAUCAUUUAAAGAAAGCGUAAUAGCUCACUGGUCGAGUCGGCCUGCGCGGAAGAUGUAACGGGGCUAAACCAUGCACCGGAAGCUGCGGCAGCGACGCUGAUGCGUUGUUGGGUAGGGGAGCGUCUGUAAGCCUGCGAAGGUGUGCUGUGAGGCAUGCUGGAGGUAUCAGAAGUGCGAAUGCUGACAUAAGUAACGAUAAAGCGGGUGAAAAGCCCGCUCGCCGGAAGACCAAGGGUUCCUGUCCAACGUUAAUCGGGGCAGGGUGAGUCGACCCCUAAGGCGAGGCCGAAAGGCGUAGUCGAUGGGAAACAGGUUAAUAUUCCUGUACUUGGUGUUACUGCGAAGGGGGGGACGGAGAAGGCUAUGUUGGCCGGGCGACGGUUGUCCCGGUUUAAGCGUGUAGGCUGGUUUUCCAGGCAAAUCCGGAAAAUCAAGGCUGAGGCGUGAUGACGAGGCACUACGGUGCUGAAGCAACAAAUGCCCUGCUUCCAGGAAAAGCCUCUAAGCAUCAGGUAACAUCAAUCGUACCCCAAACCGACACAGGUGGUCAGGUAGAGAAUACCAAGGCGCUUGAGAGAACUCGGGUGAAGGAACUAGGCAAAAUGGUGCCGUAACUUCGGGAGAAGGCACGCUGAUAUGUAGGUGAAGUCCCUUGCGGAUGGAGCUGAAAUCAGUCGAAGAUACCAGCUGGCUGCAACUGUUUAUUAAAAACACAGCACUGUGCAAACACGAAAGUGGACGUAUACGGUGUGACGCCUGCCCGGUGCCGGAAGGUUAAUUGAUGGGGUCAGCGCAAGCGAAGCUCUUGAUCGAAGCCCCGGUAAACGGCGGCCGUAACUAUAACGGUCCUAAGGUAGCGAAAUUCCUUGUCGGGUAAGUUCCGACCUGCACGAAUGGCGUAAUGAUGGCCAGGCUGUCUCCACCCGAGACUCAGUGAAAUUGAACUCGCUGUGAAGAUGCAGUGUACCCGCGGCAAGACGGAAAGACCCCGUGAACCUUUACUAUAGCUUGACACUGAACAUUGAGCCUUGAUGUGUAGGAUAGGUGGGAGGCUUGGAAGUGUGGACGCCAGUCUGCAUGGAGCCGACCUUGAAAUACCACCCUUUAAUGUUUGAUGUUCUAACGUUGACCCGUAAUCCGGGUUGCGGACAGUGUCUGGUGGGUAGUUUGACUGGGGCGGUCUCCUCCUAAAGAGUAACGGAGGAGCACGAAGGUUGGCUAAUCCUGGUCGGACAUCAGGAGGUUAGUGCAAUGGCAUAAGCCAGCUUGACUGCGAGCGUGACGGCGCGAGCAGGUGCGAAAGCAGGUCAUAGUGAUCCGGUGGUUCUGAAUGGAAGGGCCAUCGCUCAACGGAUAAAAGGUACUCCGGGGAUAACAGGCUGAUACCGCCCAAGAGUUCAUAUCGACGGCGGUGUUUGGCACCUCGAUGUCGGCUCAUCACAUCCUGGGGCUGAAGUAGGUCCCAAGGGUAUGGCUGUUCGCCAUUUAAAGUGGUACGCGAGCUGGGUUUAGAACGUCGUGAGACAGUUCGGUCCCUAUCUGCCGUGGGCGCUGGAGAACUGAGGGGGGCUGCUCCUAGUACGAGAGGACCGGAGUGGACGCAUCACUGGUGUUCGGGUUGUCAUGCCAAUGGCACUGCCCGGUAGCUAAAUGCGGAAGAGAUAAGUGCUGAAAGCAUCUAAGCACGAAACUUGCCCCGAGAUGAGUUCUCCCUGACUCCUUGAGAGUCCUGAAGGAACGUUGAAGACGACGACGUUGAUAGGCCGGGUGUGUAAGCGCAGCGAUGCGUUGAGCUAACCGGUACUAAUGAACCGUGAGGCUUAACCUU